AUAGAUUGAAGGUUACCUGAUAUCUAUUCUAGGUGGCGGACGGGUGAGUAACGCGUGAGCAAUCUGCCUUGUACUGGGGGAUAACGUCGAGAAAUCGGCGCUAAUACCGCAUAAUACUAUUAGAUCGCAUGGUCAUAUAGUCAAAACUCCGGUGGUACAAGAUGAGCUCGCGUCCAAUUAGCUAGUUGGUGAGGUAAUGGCCCACCAAGGCGACGAUUGGUAGCCGAACUGAGAGGUUGAUCGGCCACAUUGGGACUGAGACACGGCCCAGACUCCUACGGGAGGCAGCAGUGGGGAAUAUUGCGCAAUGGGAAGGGGAACUCUGACGCAGCAACGCCGCGUGAAGGAUGAAGGUUUUCGGAUUGUAAACUUCUUUGAUCGGGGACGAAAAUGACGGUACCCGAGGAACAAGCCACGGCUAACUACGUGCCAGCAGCGGC
rnacentral:rRNA from 1 species